rnacentral:rRNA from 1 species
UACAGAGGUCUCAAGCGUUGUUCGGAUUCAUUGGGCGUAAAGGGUGCGUAGGCGGCGCGGUAAGUCGGGUGUGAAAUCUCGGAGCUUAACUCCGAAACUGCAUUUGAUACUGCGGUGCUUGAGGACUGGAGAGGAGACUGGAAUUUACGGUGUAGCAGUGAAAUGCGUAGAGAUCGUAAGGAAGACCAGUGGCGAAGGCGGGUCUCUGGGCAUCUCCUGACGCUGAGGCGCGAAAGCGUGGGGAGCAAACGGG